rnacentral:rRNA from 1 species
UACGAAGGGGGCUAGCGUUGUUCGGAUUUACUGGGCGUGAAGCGCACGUAGGCGGAUCGUUAAGUCAGGGGUGAAAUCCUGGGGCUCAACCCCAGAACUGCCUUUGAUACUGGCGAUCUCGAGUCCGGAAGAGGUGAGUGGAACUCCUAGUGUAGAGGUGGAAUUCGUAGAUAUUAGGAAGAACACCAGUGGCGAAGGCGGCUCACUGGUCCGGUACUGACGCUGAGGUGCGAAAGCGUGGGGAGCAAACAGG